rnacentral:rRNA from 1 species
AUUGAACGCUGGCGGCAGGCUUAACACAUGCAAGUCGAGCGGAGAGAGGUAGCUUGCUACUGAUCUUAGCGGCGGACGGGUGAGUAAUGCUUAGGAAUCUGCCUAUUAGUGGGGGACAACAUUUCGAAAGGAAUGCUAAUACCGCAUACGUCCUACGGGAGAAAGCAGGGGAUCUUCGGACCUUGCGCUAAUAGAUGAGCCUAAGUCGGAUUAGCUAGUUGGUGGGGUAAAGGCCUACCAAGGCGACGAUCUGUAGCGGGUCUGAGAGGAUGAUCCGCCACACUGGGACUGAAACACGGCCCAGACUCCUACGGGAGGCAGCAGUGGGGAAUAGUGGACAAUGGGGGGAACCCUGAUCCAGCCAUGCCGCGUGUGUGAAGAAGGCCUUAUGGUUGUAAAGCACUUUAAGCGAGGAGGAGGCUACUUUAGUUAAUACCUAGAGAUAGUGGACGUUACUCGCAGAAUAAGCACCGGCUAACUCUGUGCCAGCCGCCGCGGUAA